rnacentral:rRNA from 1 species
GACGAACGCUGGCGGCGUGCCUAAUACAUGCAAGUUGAGCGCUGAAGGUUGGUACUUGUACCAACUGGAUGAGCAGCGAACGGGUGAGUAACGCGUGGGGAAUCUGCCUUUGAGCGGGGGACAACAUUUGGAAACGAAUGCUAAUACCUCAUAAAAACUUUAAACACAAGUUUUAAGUUUGAAAGAUGCAAUUGCAUCACUCAAAGAUGAUCCCGCGUUGUAUUAGCUAGUUGGUGAGGUAAAGGCUCACCAAGGCGAUGAUACAUAGCCGACCUGAGAGGGUGAUCGGCCACAUUGGGACUGAGACACGGCCCAAACUCCUACGGGAGGCAGCAGUAGGGAAUCUUCGGCAAUGGACGAAAGUCUGACCGAGCAACGCCGCGUGAGUGAAGAAGGUUUUCGGAUCGUAAAACUCUGUUGGUAGAGAAGAACGUUGGUGAGAGUGGAAAGCUCAUCAAGUGACGGUAACUACCCAGAAAGGGACGGCUAACUACGUG